rnacentral:lncRNA from 1 species
AUAGGCCACCUCAGCAGGCAGAUGGGACCAGGGCCAGCUUGGUAAGGCCAGCACUGUCCAAGUGCUGCCCCUGUUGAGGAGAGACCUCAUCACUGACCUCAGCACAGCAGCCGGAGGUCCCAGUCCAUGGCAAAAGGUGUUGUGAAUACAGCAGUAUCUGCGGCAGUCCAGGCAGUUCGGGGCAGAGGAAGAGGAACUCUGACAAGGGGAGCAUUCGUGGGGGCUACAGCAGCUCCUGGAUAUAUAGCUCCAGGUUACGGAACCCCAUAUGGUUACAGCACAGCUGCCCCUGCAUAUGGUUAAUACUUUUAAGCAGUUUUCAGCACGUUUAUCUCACUUUAUUCUCGUUCUCCUCGGACCUCCGUAGCCAUAUCACUUGUAUAAAAUAGGCUGAGAUAUAGUGACUGUAAGCUGUGAUCUCAGUAUUCAAAGAAGGGUGAAGACAACUAUGAGUAGACAAGUGGGCAUUUUGAUGUGAAGGUGCCACAUGAGGGCAGGUGAGGUGCUUUGGAAGAACAGAAGUAUCAGCGUGCUUGAAGCAGCAGCCUGCAUGUGUGGACUAUCAUCAGUGCCUCGCCCAGAGAUGCCUGGCCUUCAUCCAAAGGGACCCUGCUGCUCCGAGCCCAGCGAGCAGCACCCACACUGCGGCUCCUUUGUGUUGAAUAUGUUGGACUCUGCCAUAGACUCCUUGUUUGGCUGCUGCACUUUGUAAUGCCUUGACAUGUUGCAUUUCUUUUCCAUUUGGAUGAAUAAAAAUAAACGCUGUG